rnacentral:rRNA from 1 species
UACGGAGGGUGCGAGCGUUGUCCGGAAUCAUUGGGCGUAAAGGGCGCGUAGGUGGCCCGGUCAGUUCGUGGUGAAAGCGCGGGGCUCAACCCUGCGUCGGCCAUGAAUGACUGCCGCGGCUGGAGCACUGUAGAGGCAGGCGGAAUUCCGGGUGUAGCGGUGGAAUGCGUAGAGAUCCGGAAGAACACCGGUGGCGAAGGCGGCCUGCUGGGCAGUUGCUGACACUGAGGCGCGACAGCGUGGGGAGCAAACAGG